GAUGAACGCUGGCGGCGUGCUUAACACAUGCAAGUCGAGCGAGAAGUUUUGAAAAGAUUCUUCGGAUGAAAUUUAAAAUGGAAAGCGGCGGACGGGUGAGUAACGCGUAGGCAACCUGCCCCAUACAAAGGGAUAGCAUUUGGAAACGAAUAUUAAUACCUUAUGAAACUUAACUAGUGCAUGCUAGGUAGGUCAAAGAUUUAUCGGUAUGGGAUGGGCCUGCGUCUGAUUAGCUAGUUGGUGAGGUAACGGCUCACCAAGGCGACGAUCAGUAGCCGACCUGAGAGGGUGAACGGCCACAUUGGAACUGAGACACGGUCCAAACUCCUACGGGAGGCAGCAGUGGGGAAUAUUGCACAAUGGGGGAAACCCUGAUGCAGCAACGCCGCGUGAACGAUGAAGGCCUUUGGGUCGUAAAGUUCUGUUCUAGGUGAUGAAAACUGACAGUAACCUAGGUGAAAGCCCCGGCUAACUCCGUG
rnacentral:rRNA from 1 species